GAAACUUCAAGCUCAGCUUGGUGUUGGGUGCUUGUCCCCGCCCGCGGCGGACUCACCUCAAAUGCAUUGGCGGCCGGUAUGUUGGCUACAGCGCAGUACAACGCGUCUGGCGUCUUGAUAUACUGGUCCUCCAGAAGCCCUUCUUUG
rnacentral:misc_RNA from 2 species